AGCAAAUCAACCCAGCAGGCAUGCGCAGCGCCGAGGGGAGGGGGACUGACAACGCCGCAGCCUGCAGGAGCCUGAAUCUGUGCUUUCUCACUGGAAGACUGAGGAACGGACUAAUCCAGAUUUGGGGAAAUGAACUGCUGUCCAAUAAUAGUAUUCUGAUGUCUUUGAGAUGGUUUGAGAUUGGAUUAAACCACACAAAUAUAGACAGAGGUAAAAUAUUCCUUUAAGAAGUGAAUAAUACUACUAUCAAUCUCCCUAAAGAGAGGUCAGAACCUGGGGCAGGGGAUAAGGGGAUGAACCUUAGCCUGGAAUGAGGGGAAAACACUUCAUCUCUCUAGGCUCCCAGGAAAGGGGCUUGCCAUUGAGGAGAAAUAAACUGAUCCCUGCUACACUAGGGCCAGCUGGAAGCUGGCAAGAAAGGCACCCACAGGGUGGUCUUCCAGAGGGAGUAGGGCUUGUGGACUCUGAGAGCAGCUUAAGGUUCUUUGUUGUAAUUGCCUCAUGCUUCAUCCUCAAGCAAUUAGUGAAGUCUUGUUUAAUGUUAAAACCUGUUCCUAGCUACAGCUGGGAAAAUUGAGAGAUGGGGUAGUGAUGAUUCCUCAGGUCAAAGCAGAAGCAGGAGCUGCCUGGGGCAAGAAGUGAGAAAUGAGAGAGUAAAGUAUCAUUUGGAAGCCAGAUCAGAGGCUCAAGUGACACGAAGACAAGAUGCAACAUUAAAUAAACAUACAUUUCGAAAUUUUCAAUGAAGAACUUCGUAAAAGAUUUUGCCUCGGACUUUGCUGGUGGUGCGGUGGUUAAGAAUCCACCUGCCAGUGCAGGGGACACGGGUUCGAGCCCUGGUCCAGGAAGAUCCCACAUGCCACUGAGCAACUAAGCCCAUACGCCACAACUACUGACCCUGCGUUCUAGAGCCUGUGAGCCACAACUACCGAAGCCCACGCGCUUAGAGCCCGUGCUCCACAACAAAAGAAGCCACAGCAAUGAGAAGCCCGUGCACCGCAAUGAAGAGUAGAAGAGUAGCCCCCACUCACCGCAUCUAGAGAAAGCCCACAAGAAGCAACGAAGACCCAACGCAGCCAAAAAAUAAAUUAAAAAAUUAAUUUAAAAAGAAAAGAUUUUGCCUCUUGCUGUCCAGCUGAAUGUAGGCUUACAAUAUUGUGAUUGGGCAUGAAAUCAAGGAUAUGUGAGUUUAGUAAUAUGUCAUAUGAGUGCAGGCCAUUAGCAUCUGAGUUUGUCAAAUUGCCCCCUUUAGGUUAUAAACACAUUUAUAACCAAAACCUUAUCCUAUGCAUUCUCUUGUUUCAGCUGAAUACUAAAUUGUCCACUGAAACUUCAGUGACCUUUCCUGUUCCUGAUCCUAUAUAACAAUUACAUUUUAAAAAUUAAUUUCAGAGCAUAAUGAACAGCUGAAACUCAACACCCAACCCAAAGAUUAGAACAUUACCCAUAAAUUAUAUCUCCCUUUGUGCUGCUCUCCCAUGUGGCAUUCAAUGAAUAUCUGUUGAGUCAGUGAAAUAGUUACUGCUGUUUCUGUAAUGUGCCACAGUCGCUGAUGAUACAGAUCUCUGUACUUAGGCUCUCAAUAAAUGCAGGUGAUAACCAGCCAGAGAGCAGUAGCCUGAAUUGAGCUACUUACCACCCUUACCAAGAACACCAUUUCUCCCACUGUAUGUGUAGACAUUGAUUUUAGUUACUGCUGCCUUUCGUUAGGGAAACCAGAAAGUCUAAGUUAUAUAACUGCCACUUCCUAACCACUUUGGUAACAUUUAUUGGGAUAAGCAUCAAUCAAACCACUGAGAAGAUUGUUCUAGGAAUUCUGUAAGUAAGCACACCUUUAAAGUGCUGCUGGUCAAAAAACACCUUACCCUCGUUCUUGUGUGUGUGGAGUUUAGAAAAGUACUGAACCAGAGUAAAUUGAACUUCACGAUCACCUGGCCCUCUGCUCUAUGUCCAGGUGAACUUGUUUUGAAAUGAACACCAAGAAUCAGAAAUGUGAAAGGUGGAAAUAUGUGAAGAAAGGAGAAGCAGUGUAAGGAAAGACCUUUGGCUUUGCCUGUAGCAAGGGGAGAAAUGAGAACUCUACAUUUGAAGGUUACUGCCCAAGUUUCACAGACAUCUGAAGAAGGGUUACAGUUGUAUUGUGUGUGUAUUUUGAGAGAUGCAGUCAACUCAUUUACCUACCACCUGCUCUUUCUCCCCAAAAGUCUGUGUGGCUAGCACUCUUCAAAUAGAAGUGGAAAAAUCCUAAGAAUGAAAAAGGGAGAUUCUCCGACUGAUGGGAAGUGGGACAAAGAUUAGGAGCCUUUUAAACAAAUUGGAUGAAACCUCUGUUUCAUCAUGUUCUCCUUUAGCAGGUAGUGUAAAUCAUUUUGAAAGUUUCAAUCAUCUCAGCUACUCUCAGGGGAACCAAAAAAAUAACGUAAGUUCCUCUUAGGGUGAGACUUUCAUGAGAAGCUACGUCCCUCCCUGAGAGUCAGCUCUGUUGUGGUAGCAGUCUGCUAAAUAAGAGAACUCCAAACAGAAGGGGAAAUUCAUGAGGACCACAUAGGGGCCGGUUGGUCAGGUGAGCCUCCCCACGACUGGCCAUAAAGAUCUGUUUGUGUAAACAAAGGGAGCUGCUACCCCAUGCAGAAAUAAUAAAGGAGAAAAGAAUGAUAUUCUUACUGUGUACCUCUGAGUGAGUCAUUCUCAGCACCAGCUAAGCAAAAUGUUUAGUCUGUCCUACCAGCUGCACAUCCACUGAGAACCAAAAAUGCCUUUGCCUUACCAUGGGGCUCUACAUCCACCUCUCUUUAGAGAAGUUGCUCCUUGAAGGCAGUUCUUUCUAGAUUUUAUAUCCCUAGAGUCUGGCUCCUCCUAGGUAUUCAAUAUAUAUUUAUUGAAUGAAAGAAUUAAAAUUAAGUUCCACACUAUUUUAUAGAGCAAGCUUCCAGAAACAGAGAGCAGCCAUCAGUGGUGAGUUCCUAGCUCCCUAGAAGUACGGGAUUUCUUCUCUGAGUAGUCUUAAAUUGUUCACUUUUCUUCAUUUAUGUCUCCUGAAGACAGUGCUGAGUUACUUCUGUUCACUCUGUCAGAGUUUACAUUGAAAGACUAAUGCCACAAGAUAUACAAGGAGAUCUCACAACUUUUGAUUAAGUAGCUUUUUUUAGCUCUUUUAAGAGAUCUAGAUGUCAGAUUCUAGAAAUCAUGCCUGUCAAAUCGAACUCUGGGUACUUGGAGCCUCUCACAUCUCUGAUCUAACAUUUAUGCCAAUGAUCCUGCUUUUAGUCCCUCCAUAUAAAUACAUAAUUAAACAGGACAUUCUCAAAAAGUGCUUUCAAUGAAGAAAAACUUACUCAUAAUAACAAUGCAAAAUAAAAUCACAAUGAGAUGAUGUUUCACAUAUUGGAUAAAAUUUUAUAAGACUUUAUAGAAAAGGGUAUGGCAAAAGAGACAUUCAUACUUUGCUGUGGGGCAUAAAUUGAAAUAAACUAUUUAAAAGGUGGUAUGGUAAUAGUCAUCAGCAACUAAAAUACCCAACCCUAUAUGACACAGCAGUCCUACUUUUAGGGUACCAGUGAAAUCCUUGCAUGUGAGAACACAGAUACCCAUCAAUGUGUUAUUUUCAAGUAAGAGACUAUAGAGCAGUUAAAAGAAAUGUGCACACAUGCACACACACAGUUCAAUCUCAAAAACAUUUUAUCAAGUGAUAAAAGCAAGUUUCAGAAAGUUAUGUUACAAUGCAGAAAAAUGUUAACGUAGUAGCCUGAGAACACUAUUCUUAGGAAGACCUGCUUGCAAGGUGGGAAUUUGGAGCGUUCCCACUAUUCUUUGGCAAGAAUGGUGCAUUGUGCCUAAACUGUGCGAACAACGUGGUUUAUGCUGGACACCUGCUUGCUUUCUGGGAGUCUGGAAUUUUCGUACAUGCCAGGCAGAGCGCACCUCUGUGACGUGUCCUGAGUAAAACCUGGGCACUGAGUCGCCAAUGAUUUUCCCUGGUAUACAGCAUCUCAUUGCUGGAGGAAUUAAGCACAUCCUGCGUGACCACACUGAAAGAGAACUUUCGGAAGCUCGUGCCUGGUUUCCUCUAGACUUCAACUCAUGCAAAUUCUUCCUUUGCUAAUUUUGCUUCACAUUGUUUUCCUGCUAUAUAUCAUAGCCAUGAAUAUGACUUCAUGCUGAACUUUAUGAGUGCUCGUAGUGAAUCAUUGAACCUGGGGGUGUUCCUGGGGACCACCAAAUCUGUUCCCUAUACCAGU